rnacentral:rRNA from 1 species
GGUCUUAUGAUUUGCAAUAUAAGAUUUGGCCUGCUCUAUGUUGAAUAAAUGGCCGCGGUAUAUUGACCGUGCGAAGGUAGCAUAAUAAUUAGGCUAUUAAUUGUGGUCUUGUAUGAAAGGUUGGACGAGGGAAGUACUUUCUUAUUUUCAAAGUUGAACUUAAAUAAUUAGUAAAAAUGCUAAUAUAUUAUAAAAAGACGAGAAGACCCUGUUGAGUUUUAUAUUUAUUUUAUUUAUUAUAUUUAAUUGGGGCGAUGGUUUAUAAACAAUCUAUGUAAUUGAUCCAUUAUUAGUGAUUAAUAGAAUAAAUUACCACAGGGAUAACAGCAUAAUUUGAUUGGAGAGUUCUUAUUGAUAUUCAAGUUUGUGACCUCGAUGUUGGAUUAAGAUUCCUUUUAGGUGCAGGUGCUUAAAAAGGUAGACUGUUCGUCUAUUAAAUUCUUACA